CACAAGCACCGCGAUAGCGGUGA
rnacentral:misc_RNA from 1 species